UACGAAGGGGGCUAGCGUUGCUCGGAAUCACUGGGCGUAAAGGUGCGUAGGCGGGUUUUAAGUCAGAGGUGAAAUCCUGGAGCUCAACUCCAGAACUGCCUUGAUACUGAAGAUCUUGAGUUCGGGAGAGGUGAGUGGAACUGCGAGUGUAGAGGUGAAAUUCGUAGAUAUUCGCAAGAACACCAGUGGCGAAGGCGGCUCACUGGCCCGAUACUGACGCUGAGGCACGAAAGCGUGGGAGCAAACAGG
rnacentral:rRNA from 1 species